UACGAAGGGGGCUAGCGUUGCUCGGAAUUACUGGGCGUAAAGCGCACGUAGGCGGCUUCUUAAGUCGGAGGUGAAAUCCUGGAGCUCAACUCCAGAACUGCCUUCGAUACUGGGAAGCUCGAGUCCGGGAGAGGUGAGUGGAACUGCGAGUGUAGAGGUGAAAUUCGUAGGUAUUCGCAAGAACACCAGUGGCGAAGGCGGCUCACUGGCCCGGUACUGACGCUGAGGUGCGAAAGCGUGGGGAGCAAACAGG
rnacentral:rRNA from 1 species